rnacentral:rRNA from 1 species
UACAGAGGGGGCAAGCGUUGUUCGGAAUUACUGGGCGUAAAGGGCGCGUAGGCGGCUUAUCAAGUCAGGCGUGAAAUUCCCGGGCUCAACCUGGGGGCUGCGCUUGAUACUGAUUGGCUUGAAUGCGGGAGAGGAUAGUGGAAUUCCCAGUGUAGAGGUGAAAUUCGUAGAUAUUGGGAAGAACACCGGUGGCGAAGGCGGCUAUCUGGCCCGUAAUUGACGCUGAGGCGCGAAAGCGUGGGGAGCAAACAGG